rnacentral:rRNA from 1 species
AGAGUUUGAUCCUGGCUCAGAGUGAACGCUAGCGGCGUGGUUAAGACAUGCAAGUCGAACGAUGAAGCCCAGCUUGCUGGGCGGAUUAGUGGCAUACGGGUGCGUAACACGUGAGCAACCUGCCUUGAAGUGGGGAAUAGCCCGGGGAAACCCGGAUUAAUACCGCAUGUGGUCUCUUUUCGCAUGAAAAGACGACUAAAGUUUGUAAUGACUCUUCAAGAGGGGCUCGCGGCCUAUCAGCUUGUUGGUGAGGUAAAGGCUCACCAAGGCAAAGACGGGUAGCUGGUCUGAGAGGAUGAUCAGCCACACUGGAACUGAGAUACGGUCCAGACACCUACGGGUGGCAGCAGUUUCGAAUCAUUCACAAUGGGGGAAACCCUGAUGGUGCAACGCCGCGUGGAGGAUGACGGCCUUCGGGUUGUAAACUCCUGUCACCAAGGAACAAACGGCAGGUUCAUAGCCUGUCCUGAGUUAACUUGGAGAGGAAGAGGUGGCUAACUCCGUGCCAGCAGCCGCGGUAAUACGGAGACCUCGAGCGUUACUCGGAUUCACUGGGCGUAAAGAGUAUGUAGGCGGUUUGGUAUGUCAGGUGUGAAAGCCCGAAGCUCAACUUCGGAAUUGCGCCUGAAACUACCGGACUUGAGGCCUGGAGAG